UUAUCCAAAUAUCAUAAGUUUUGUGAUUAUGUGAUAAUGUAUAAAUAAAUUAAAUACAAAGUUAUACAAUCUUUUAUAUGUGUAUUUAUGGUUCAAUAAAUAUUUUUUUAUAAAAAAUCUAAUUAAUCGAACCAAAUAAAAUUGUAUUUAUUUGAUUUCAUUUAAUUCGAUUUUAUUUUUAAAAGUCAAUCAAACUAAAUUCAAUUACAUAUUUUUUCUCUUCCAAUUUAAAUGAUUUUUAUCGUAAAAAAAUUGUACAAACACUCUUGUA
rnacentral:lncRNA from 1 species